rnacentral:lncRNA from 1 species
AUAAGUCCCCCCGCUCUUUGGCUCUUUGUUUUGCAGUUGGAGCCGCUGCACGCGCUGGGCGGGACUGGGAGUGAAGUGAAGAAGGCGCGGCCGAGCUACAGUACACCCCCCCCUCCACCCCACUUCACUUCACACGUGUAGACAAAGGGAGCCAUCAACACAGCCAGCAGAGCAGCACCAACACGACUUCUUCCCCCACAGUCCAGCCUCCAACUAACUUCAGCCAGGAGCCCGGAUCUCCUCAGAGCCCGCAGAUCUAUGGGACCCAGAAGAAAACUUAAUGACGAUCGGGACACCUGUGUUCAACUUUUGGAUUUUGGAUAAUAAUGACUUUUGCACGGCAGCACUGCUAGGAUUACUCUUCCUGAUUGGGAUACUGCUUUUCUAUUGGAUUACUUUACCAUUUCUACACACCAAAUAGAUGCCAAUCUCGUGGUGCUGUGAACGAGAAACCUGGACUGCUAUAGAGUGGAACUGCAUUGCCUUUAGCAAGACAUCCAGAGUCCAGAGCCAGAUCAGGUUCAAGAAUGAAGGCCUUGUGAGUCCAGCAUCUGCAGGAGGGAAGCAGACAGUGAGGUCCUGAAUGGAAGCGAUAGGGGAAGAGAUCAGCGGCCCGGCUGUAAUUAAGAGAGACGAGACCGAGGUAAGCAGGCUGUGUUUAAAGAGCUCAUUGAGCCGGCGAGUGGCCGUCAUGUGGUCAGAAUUAGAAGCAUGACGAAGCGGAUGAAGGCGUCAGUCUCAAAACCGAGGCCUCUUUCCCCUCAGAAAGCUUCCACAUUAGAGCAAACACUGUUCUUGAGAGAGCUUUGAAUUCUGGGAAAGAGAGUUUAGAGAGUGGGACAGGGCUGAGGUUGGGAUGGGAAGAAAGAGAAAGUUAGAGAAGAGAGAGAUGAAUGGAAGUGGGUUUGGGAACCGACUUGCUUAAGAAAUACUAUGGAUGGAGAAUCAGAUUUACUUUAACUUUCUUAUUUUGACUGUAAUCAGUCAGCUAAAACAUGUUUAAACUUGAUUUGGGACAAGAUAAAAAAAAAAUAUAAAAAUCACACUUAAAAAGAGUGCAGCCAGUAAUAGCUGUUCUAAAUCCGCAUUCACUAUAAAGGACAAAAGUAUUGGGACACACCCUUGUUAAAAAAAAAAAAAAAAAGUAUAUUAAGUCUAUUUUUAAAAGUAUACUUAACAGGGAA